rnacentral:rRNA from 1 species
AGAGUUUGAUCCUGGCUCAGGAUGAACGCUAGCGGGAGGCUUAACACAUGCAAGUCGAGGGGUAACAGGGGUAGCAAUACCUGCUGACGACCGGCGUACGGGUGAGUAACGCGUAUGCAACCUGCCCUAUACAGGAGGAUAGCCCGGAGAAAUUCGGAUUAAUACUCCAUGUAGCAUUUUUUUCGCAUGAAUUAGAUGUUAAAGAUUUAUCGGUAUAGGAUGGGCAUGCGUCCCAUUAGCUAGUUGGUGAGGUAACGGCUCACCAAGGCAUCGAUGGGUAUGGGGUCUUAAAGGAUGGUCCCACACACUGGCACUGAGACACGGGCCAGACUCCUACGGGAGGCAGCAGUGAGGAAUAUUGGUCAAUGGGUGCGAGCCUGAACCAGCCAUCCCGCGUGCAGGAUGACGGUCCUAGUGAUUGUAAACUGCUUUUCUAUGAGAUGAAUAAGAAUUACGUGUAGUUCGAUGACCGUAUUAUAGGAAUAAGCAUCGGCUAACUCCGUGCCAGCAGCCGCGGUAAUACGGAGGAUGCAAGCGUUAUCCGGAUUUAUUAGGUUUAAAGGGUGCGUAGGUGGGCGUUUAAGUCAGUGGUUAAAGCCAUUAGCUUAACUAAUGUAUGCCAUUGAUACUGGAUGUCUUGAAUGUGGUAGAGGUAGGCGGAAUGUGUUGUGUAGCGGUGAAAUGCUUAGAUAUAACACAGAACACCGAUUGCGUAGGCAGCUUACUAUUCCAUUAUUGACGCUGAUGCACGAAAGCGUGGGGAUCAAACAGGAUUAGAUACCCUGGUAGUCCACGCUGUAAACUAUGAUCACUCGUUUUUGGCGAUAUAUAGUCAGAGACUGAGCGAAAGCAUUAAGUGAUCCACCUGGGGAGUACGUUCGCAAGAAUGAAACUCAAAGGAAUUGACGGGGGCCCGCACAAGCGGAGGAACAUGUG